AUGAGGCAGGCAUGCAGUAGACGUGCAGUAAACAUCUGCGCCCUAGUGAAGGGAGAGGAGUCCAUCCAGGAAGCAAGUGCAGAGCUUUCUGGAGCCGGGAAGCCGCUGGGGACCCCGGGGUAUGCGCGGCUGGUUUUUGCGCGGGGCUGGGGGGCCGUGACUCAGACCCAGUACUUCGGGCCGGGCACGCGGCUGCUGGUGCUAGACGAUCUGAGCCGGGUGCACCCGCCCAAGGUGGCUGUGUUCGAACCCUCGGAAGCAGAGAUCGACCGGACCCAGAAGGCCACGCUCGUGUGCCUGGCCACGGGCUUCUACCCCGACCACGUGGAGCUGACCUGGUGGGUGAACAGGAAGCAGGUCACCACUGGGGUCAGCACGGACCCUGAGCCCUACAAGGAGGACCCCACGCGGGAGGACUCCAGAUACUGUCUGAGCAGCCGGCUGAGAGUGACCGCCGCCUUCUGGCACAACCCCCGCAACCACUUCCGCUGCCAAGUCCAGUUCCACGGGCUCACGGACGAGGACAAGUGGGAGCAGGACAGGGCCAAGCCCGUUACCCAGAACAUCAGCGCCGAGGCCUGGGGCAGAGCAGACUGUGGUGUCACUUCCGCGUCUUAUCAGCAAGGUGUCCUGUCUGCCACCCUCCUCUAUGAGAUCCUGCUGGGGAAGGCCACCCUGUACGCUGUGCUGGUCAGCGCCCUGGUGCUGAUGGCCAUGGUUAAGAAAAAGGAUUCCUGAGACCAGCUCCAAAAGUGCACCCCGAGUCAUUCUUUAUCAUGGCCUUGGAUUCUCCUUAACAUCUUUCCAGUCUAUGUUCCUCAAGAGUUUCUCUCUCAUCUUCCUCUACGGAUGUCUGCCCCUUCCCUCAGCUUCCCUGCAGGUAGAAUGCCGCAUCCCAAACCUAAAAUUGACUGAAUCAAUAAAAGUGUCAUGAUGGGCUUGACUGUG